rnacentral:misc_RNA from 1 species
UUUCCGUAGGUGAACCUGCGGAAGGAUCAUUAAUGGGAAAUCAAAUCAAAUCAAAACAAAUGUUCUGUUGCACUGGGUGUGCUGUGUGGUGGCGGUGUGAGACAUGGAGAUUCAAUCAUUGGAGAUUCAAUCAUUGGAGAUUCAAUCAUUGGAGAUUCAACCAUUGGAAUUUCAAUCAUUGGAGAUUCAAUCAUUCAAUCUCAAUCAUCGCCACACAACACAACUAUCUAUCACACUCGAUCAACAACAACACACUCACACACAACAGCAAACAACUUUUAACAAUGGAUCUCUUGGCUCUU